GCGUGCGGUGCUGACACCAAAAUGGAGGUCCCGUGUUUCUGAGAGUCUCUUUCAGAGCAAUGCAAACCUGAAACUACUCCUGCCAAGAAACGAUUGCAGCUCUUCCCGGAAAAGUUAAAGCCUUUGAGAAACAAAGCUGAGGUUGAAAGUAUUAGUCCAUUUUAUAGAUGAAGAAAUGGAGGCCCAGAGAGAUCACGUGACUUAGCCAAGUCCACCAAAUUUGGGAUUAAGCCUUAUUUUGCAUUGGGUUUAAUCUCAACAGACACCGAGGGGCACCUGGAGUC
rnacentral:lncRNA from 10 species